rnacentral:rRNA from 1 species
AUUGAACGCUGGCGGCAUGCUUUACACAUGCAAGUCGAACGGCAGCGGGGGCUUCGGCCCGCCGGCGAGUGGCGAACGGGUGAGUAAUGCAUCGGAACGUGCCCAGUCGUGGGGGAUAACACAUCGAAAGAUGUGCUAAUACCGCAUACGUCCUGAGGGAGAAAGCGGGGGAUCUUCGGACCUCGCGCGAUUGGAGCGGCCGAUGUCGGAUUAGCUAGUUGGUGGGGUAAAAGCCCACCAAGGCGACGAUCCGUAGCGGGUCUGAGAGGAUGAUCCGCCACACUGGGACUGAGACACGGCCCAGACUCCUACGGGAGGCAGCAGUGGGGAAUUUUGGACAAUGGGGGCAACCCUGAUCCAGCCAUGCCGCGUGAGUGAAGAAGGC